CUUGUUGCCUUUUAUGUUUAAGUG
rnacentral:siRNA from 1 species